UAGAAGAACACUUUAAGCACCAUAACCACUACAGAGUUUUGUAGUGGUUAUGGUGCUAAGAGUGCCCGGGUC